rnacentral:rRNA from 1 species
UACGGAGGGAGCUAGCGUUGUUCGGAAUUACUGGGCGUAAAGCGCACGUAUGCGGCUAUUCAAGUCAGAGGUGAAAGCCCGGGGCUCAACCCCGGAACUGCCUUUGAAACUAGGUAGCUAGAAUCUUGGAGAGGUCAGUGGAAUUCCGAGUGUAGAGGUGAAAUUCGUAGAUAUUCGGAAGAACACCAGUGGCGAAGGCGACUGACUGGACAAGUAUUGACGCUGAGGUGCGAAAGCGUGGGGAGCAAACAGG